rnacentral:rRNA from 1 species
AUUGAACGCUGGCGGCAGGCCUAACACAUGCAAGUCGAACGAGUGGCGGACGGGUGAGUAAUGUCUGGGAAACCGCCCGCUGGAGGGGGAUAACCACUGGAAACGGUAGCUAAUACCGCAUACCAUCGGAUGUGCCCAGAUGGGAUUAGCUAGUAGGUGGGGUAACGGCUCACCUAGGCGACGAUCCCUAGCUGGUCUGAGAGGAUGACAAGCCACAGUGGAACUGAGACACGGUCCAGGCUCCUACGGGAGGCAGCGGUGGAGAAUAUUGCACAAUGGGCGCAAGCCUGAUGCAGCCAUGCCGGGUGAAUGAAGAAGGCCUUCGGGUUGUUAAGUACGUUCAGCGAGGAGGCGUUACUCACAGAAGGAGAACCGGCUGACUCCGUGCCAGCAGCCACGGUAAUAC